GUAGGGAAUAUUGCGCAAUGGACGAAAGUCUGACGCAGCGACGCCGCGUGAGUGAUGAAGGCCUUAGGGUCGUAAAGCUCUGUUGAAUGGGAAGAAAAAAAUGACGGUACCAUUCGAGGAAGGACCGGCUAACUUCGUGCCAGCAGCCGCGGUAAUACGAGGGGUCCUAGCGUUGUUCGGAAUCAUUGGGCGUAAAGGGUGUGUAGGUGGCCAUGUAAGUCAGGUGUGAAAGCCCCGGGCUCAACCCGGGAAGUGCACUUGAUACUGCGUGGCUUGAGUACCGAAGAGGGUAGUGGAAUUCCAGGUGUAGUGGUGAAAUACGUAGAUAUCAGGUGGAACACCGGAGGCGAAGGCGGGUAACUGGACGAACACUGACACUGAGGCCCGAAAGCGUGGGGAUCAAACAGGAUUAGAAACCCCAGUAGUCC
rnacentral:rRNA from 1 species